rnacentral:rRNA from 1 species
GAUGAACGCUAGCGGCGUGCCUAAUACAUGCAAGUCGAACGAGGGCUUUGUUGUAGCAAUACGGCGAAGUCCGAGUGGCGAACGGGUGAGUAACACGUAGGCGACCUGCCCCGAAGAGGGGGAUAACCCCGGGAAACUGGAGCUAAUACCCCAUACCCUUGUUGGAGUUAGAGGUCUGGCAAGGAAAGGAGCAAUCCGCUUCGGGAGGGGCCUGCGGCCCAUCAGCUUGUUGGUAGGGUCACGGCCUACCAAGGCGACGACGGGUAGGGGCCUGAGAGGGUGGUCCCCACACUGGCACUGAAACACGGGCCAGACACCUACGGGUGGCAGCAGUAGGGAAUAUUGCACAAUGGGCGAAAGCCUGAUGCAG